rnacentral:rRNA from 1 species
UACGUAGGGUGCAAGCGUUAAUCGGAAUUACUGGGCGUAAAGCGUGCGCAGGCGGUUGUGCAAGACAGAUGUGAAAUCCCCGGGCUCAACCUGGGAACUGCAUUUGUGACUGCACAGCUUGAGUGUGGCAGAGGGGGGUGGAAUUCCACGUGUAGCAGUGAAAUGCGUAGAUAUGUGGAGGAACACCGAUGGCGAAGGCAGCCCCCUGGGUUAACACUGACGCUCAUGCACGAAAGCGUGGGGAGCAAACAGG